rnacentral:rRNA from 1 species
CCUACGGGGGGCAGCAGUGGGGGAUAUUGCACAAUGGGGGAAACCCUGAUGCAGCGACGCCGCGUGUGGGAAGACGGUCCUCUGGAUUGUAAACCACUGUUCCCAGGGACGAAGAUGACGGAACCGGGGGAGGAAGCUCCGCCAAACAACGUCCCAGCAGCCGCGGUAAUACGUGGGGGGCGAGCGUUGUCCGGAAUUACUGGGUGAAAAGGGGGCGUAGGCGGGGUUGCAAGGUGGGUGUAAAAACUACCGGCUCAACUGGUAGUCGCACGCAAAACUGCAGCUCUUGAGUGAGGUAGAGGCAGGCGGAAUUCCUGGUGUAGCGGUGAAAUGCGUAGAUAUUAGGAGGAACACCAGUGGCGAAGGCGGCCUGCUGGGCUUUUACUGACGCUGAGGCUCGAAAGUGUGGGGAGCAAACAGGAUUAGAUACCCCUGUAGUC